UUUGCUAAUGACAGCGGUGAAGCGUUUUUCCUCUCCAAGAGGAAAUUAUACAUCUAAAAGAUCCAUUAAAUGAUAUCUGGAUGUGCCUAGCCUGGCCACCUUAACUAAGAAGAUUUCAUACGGUGUAUACAUUGUAUAAAUGUUAGGUUAUGUAGAUGGAAUUUGAAGUCACCAAGACUAGCUCUUUCCCGUAAACAGUUUCCAUACUGCUCCGACUCCAAAGCUUCACUGCCGCAUUGGUACUUCCGUUGCAAACACAAAAUAGUUUGCAACCGCGUGUGACACACAUUUGGUAAUUUUAUUUUGAAUAUCGUUCCUCGUUUUACAACAAACAAUUGGUGUUUUGAUCAAACUGCUCCCCCUGUAUGCUGUAUACUGACCUGUAUUCUGUUUCAUGGAUCCCCCCGAUCCAUGGACAUACGAUGUCACACUGGGUCCUAUACAGUUAGGGGAAGUGACUUGUGCUGUACCUGAUGAAAAAUAAAUCAAGGAGGGGUGUAAUGAUAUCGGAUCGAAACAGUUGAAUACGCGCCAACGAAAAAUUAUAUUACGUCACUUGCAAUAUCCGAUAUAUUACGUGUUACAUGCACUGUGCGUGUUUUUACAGGUGAGAAGGAUUGCCGUCAGACAAACGACCAUGCGUUAAUUCUGUGUGGGACUGACGUGAGAGACGAUUCGGUGUGAUUUCUUAUUACAUUUGCACGUGUUCAAGUGUUAAUGAAUCAUACCAUGUCUCAGAAAGUUAAGGUGCGAGAACAAGCUUUCUGCGUUGUGGGGACCAAACAGGUGAGUGAACUGUUCCUUGUUCAUGCUGCAGAGUUGUCGGCCCUCGAUGUUGUGGUACCGGGUCACUUCCAUGUCCCUGAGUUUGAAUUCAUUGCGGGACCACUCCAGCCACUGUUGUACGUCCCCCUCCGACCAGGUCUGGGGAUCUAUGGAGGAAACGGAUAGACACUAGUACACCAGUCACAGAUUUGAGCUUUAAGUCAUUGACAUUUUCUUGAUUUGAGAACAACCUUUCAUGAGUAAUAAAUAAAAAUUAAAGCCGUUUAGGUCUAUUUAAAACAAUUUUUGUCAAAACAAGAUAAUUUUUGUUAUAAACAAAUACAUUUAUAAACUUCAAUUGAAAACAAGAUAUGAAAUUUCGUUUUUGACAUAUUUUUAAAUAGAAAUCUGAAUCCCCAAAUCAAUUAAUACAUGUGCAUGUCUGAAAUUUGAUUUGAAAAUUGAUGUACAAGUAAAUGGAAAUGAUGCAAAGUAAGAUCGAUGUGAGUUAAUUUAUAUUUUGAAUGAUUUAUAUAUUCAUUAAUAAUGCAUGCAUAUACCAAAAAAAUUAUUGUUUAAUAUGUAACUUUUUAUAUCUCAUGAUUUAAUGUUUAUCACGGUGAAUAUACAUAUAAUGUUAAACUUUAUCUUAUGGAAUAAUGGUUUUAAAAAAUUCU
rnacentral:sRNA from 1 species